GAUGAAGAACGUAGCGAAAUGCGAUAAGUAAUGUGAAUUGCAGAAUUCAGUGAAUCAUCGAAUCUUUGAACGCACAUUGCGCCCCUUGGUAUUCCGGGGGGCAUGCCUGUUCGAGCGUCAUUACAACCCUCAAGCUCUGCUUGGUCUUGGGCGUCACCGGUCCCCGGUGUGCCUUAAAAUCAGUGGCGGCGCCAUCUGGCUCUAAGCGUAGUACAUACUCUCGCUACAGACGUCCGGUGGAUGCUGGCCAGCAACCCCCAAUUUUCUAUGGUUGACCUCGGAUCAGGUAGGGAUACCCGCUGAACUUAAGCAUAUCAAUAAGCGGAGGA
rnacentral:misc_RNA from 1 species